CCGCGGGGCCUCCGUAGAACGGCUGCAGAGCCGGGACUGCGGGUCCCGUCAUGCCCCGCGGCCCCUGAGAGCGCAGUCGGCGCCGGGAGUGUUCCCUAAGGACGGUCCCAGCCGCUCCCCAAGUGCUUCCCUGAACCGGCUGCAGGGGAAUCUGCUCUGCACCUGCAGCACAUCCUCACCUGGGGAGCUACUCAGGGAGGAGGGACAACAGCAGUGAAAGGGACCAAAGGAGGCAUCAGCAGAACAAGAAACAUUCCCCAAGCUCUAGCUGAUGUCCAGUGAACUCAAAUGGGAGAUCAGAUGUCUCCCAGGGCAGGAGGGCUGUGACGCCGUUGGCUGGUUGCAGCAUCAGGAGCUCAUGACUGGUGUACUGGAGCUAUCAAUCUUCAUUGGCUCUAGGACUUACGGCACAGUGGCAGUGUCAUUCAGCACCCAGUGUUAUACAAUUCAACAUCACGGACUGUUCUCACUCGAAGUCAAAUCCUCCUGCAUUACCCACAAAAUGCACCAAGGUCCUUGAGCAAAGACUGUCUCACGAUGGGUUUCCCUCUGCUUAAGGCAGGACGGAUCCAAACAGUUUUCCUUAAUCCAUUUCUCAUAUGCACCACAGGAACUUUAUUCCCUUCUGCAGUACAUGGAUGGUUUUUCUGGGCAGUGCCAGCUCAGUUGGUAGAGCCUGGUAGGUGUUCACUGACCAGGUGGCCUUUGCUAAGUGGAGUUCCUAAUGCUUGAAGGCCCCACCCAUUGCUUUCAAGGUGGUUUUUAACAGUCCAUUGUACCAUUGAGCUUUCCCAGGGCUGGUGUAUGACAGGGAAUGUGGUACACCCACUCAGUGCUGUGCUCUCUGGCCAAGGUGUUCAUGAGGCUGUUUUUGAAGUUAUGGGAAUACACAAGACAGAGAGUCAAACAGACUUGAUUAGCAUAGCUAGUUUGAUAACCAAGAUGCCAUGGCAGGAACAAACAGAACUGUGAAAAUUACAGGAGAUGGGAUUAUACCUGCUUACAGGAAGAGAGAAGAUUCAAUCAACUUCUGCAAGCAAAGAAUUGUUGUAAAAUGCAUGAGUUUUCUGUGUGAUUUUUAACCUGAUUAUUGUAGUAGAAAUUAUUAACCUGUUUGAAAUAGUAUACAAGCUUUUGGGAAACCUGAGUAAAAUCGAAUUCUGAUCACCGAAUCAGACUUCCCGUCUCUCAUCAAUUGCCAAUAGAAGUAAGUCCCAUUGUUUGAGUCAAUUCUUUCAGCGAUGCCACAUUGCCACAGGGCUUGUUUUUCAAGGGUCAACAUGGUGUUCCAGGCAGUGGCGUAAUGCAUGGGUAUGGGUCUCCAGACAUCCAGUUGUGCCUUCUACCAUUGUCAGCAACUCUUGCCUUGGAGAGGUUGUAGCACUGUGAUGCAAUUGAUCUGCCAGGCCUCCCCAGAUUUAUAUUUCCACCAUCGUCCCUCACACCACAGGGGUUUUAUCCGCUUGCCCCUGCUUGAUCUCAGCACACGUUUCACCGUCAUGGAUUACCCAGGAUAUAGUGUCCAUGAUUAAGUCCACCUCUCAGUCACAAUGCAUCUGUGUGAUACAUCUCUUCCCUGAUGACCUUAGAUGCCUAAGGGGCCUACUGAGCCAGAAAUAACUCACCCUGGUGUGGCAAGUCCACAUCCACCUAAGACACUUUAAUCCUGGCAGCCCCGUCCCCUAUCCAUUGUUGUGAUGCUCUUCACUAGCCAACUCUUGGGUGCAUGAGCAUCUGCAGGAGAGACUUUUACAGCCAACUUCUCUACCCAGGCAGCAAUAUAUUGCCACAAUUCAAUAACCCAGAUGGGUUUCUCUCUGCACUGCCAAUUGGUCUUCUGCAUUGUCCAGCCACCUCCACAGAGCAUUGCUGCUAUGUAUGAGUCAGUGGCCAUUUCUCUCAUUCAGCGAUAUCCAGCAAUAUCCAAAGCCAGCUGGACAGCUUUCAGCUCUGCAACCUGACUUGAUCCACCUUAUCCUUCGGUAACUUCUGUGACUGAUCACACAGGACUUCACAGGGCUGCUUUCUGUUUUCUGAUGUAGCUGUACAAUAUCCUCUCCUGAGGUAACCUCUGCAAAGGCUACAUGGGGCCACUAAGCCUGUCCCAAUGAGGUGUUUUUGCCCUUCAUUCCCAGUCAGGAUCACUUCAGCUUCAUUGCAAUACAGUCAGCUGUUGGGAUUCCCAUCAUCCCAGAAACAGAGAUGGAUUCUACCCCUACAUAUAUUGAUGGCAUCUGGGUACAUCAGGUGCUGGUGUCAAAUAAAGCGUUAUACUCUUGUGGUGCUGAUGUACCUGCCCUCAGAUCCACACUCCCCAACAGAUCCAAUGGUCCCUUUCCUCCACCUGGCUGGAGCCAGGGCCUCUUUAGUUCUGGUCACAGUACCCAUUGCUCACUUCUUGUAAAUAUGACCUGGAGGUCCUUUCAGGAGGAUCAGAAGUAACAUCAGCCCUUCUAUUCUGCCUGAGGACUUGCCCACUGGAAACUGGAGGAGAUUUAUCUUUGACAAGUUUUCUGUGGUGGUGUUCUUCCUCUCAACUCACCUGUGCUGCUGGGGCAGAGAUGGGUUUUCAAUUCCACUUCCUCGUGUCCUCUCCAUGGUCACACAGUUAAAACCACAAGUUACUUCACAGUGUGUCUCCUCUCACCUGAGCAGGAUUUUGGCUGCUCCCAAUAGCAGAGACUCUGGUCCAUACUGGCAGGAUAUGGGACAUUUCCUCUCUAGUUUGCUUGAGUCUUUCAAAUCUGUCAGCAGUGUUGAACACUCUUUCCACAGCCAAUGCAUAGAUUGGUAGAGAGAAGAAAAGAUGAUCUUCUUAUUGCCAAAGCUGGGUAGUCACCUGAAGCACUGUUUACUUUCCUUCUUUCAUUGACAUCACUGCCAAUGAUGGUAUACAACGAUGGUGCCCUCAAUGCAAACUUCCACCACAUGGACUGUGUGCCCUGGACCUCAUCUGGAUCUUCCUCCUUGCUGUGAAGACCCUGCUUCCUCCUCAUCCCUCACUGAGCAAACUGAUUUGGUCUUGGAUUUCUUCUGUAUAGGGGAAACUGCUCUGAACACAUGUUGUUCCUGAGGUUCAGCUGCAAUUGGAAUGUCCACAGUGCCUGUUGUUCUGCUUUCCUCCUGCCCCCGAGGGUGCUGUGCAGUGAUGAACAUUCAUAUAUUUUAUCACUUUACCAGGGUCCCGUAGUUGUUCAGGCGUGAACUUCCAAACCACUGGAGCAGAGAAAUCCUCCAAACACUAGCCCAUGUCUAUUGGGGUACACAGGACAGAGAGCACUACAGACUUAAUUAGCAUAGCUGGUUUGAUAACCAAGAUGCCUUGGCAAGAACAAACAGAAAUUUGAAGAUUACAGGAUAUUGGAUUAAGUCUGUUGACAGGAAAAGAAGAUUGAAUCAAACUUCUCCAAACAAGAUAUGUUGUAAAAUGUAUGAGUUUGUAUGAUGUUUAACCUAAUCACUGUAGUAAAAAAUUACUAGCCGUCCUAGAAUACUAUAUAAGCAUUUAGAAAUCUCAGUAAAAACUAAUUCUGAUCACUGAAUCAGUCUUCCCGUCUCUCUACCAAUUGUCAAUACAUGUCCUCCCACAUUUCAUACCACCCCUGACUAUCCUCCCUCAGGAAAGAUCUCUGAAUGGCCUUUCUGAAAAUUUCUUUUGUAAUUUUAAACAUGGUGUGGACCACACUGAGGAGAUCUGGCAGACACAGCAACAAGAACAUACUUAAUACCCAAAGGGAGUUCAAAACUCAAAAGUUGUUGUACCAGGCCUGAAGGAAGAAAAGGGGGUGAAAGGCUGGGAAAAAUCAUCCUCCCUGUUCCCCCCUCCACAGGCUGGGCAUAAUUAUUAAUGGACGCCCAGAGGUAGCACCUGAGGGAAGGGCAGGAGAGCAGCACUGAAGACACAUCCCAAUUGACUCUCACUGCCCUUGUUGUUACCAUGUCAUAAACUGAUAUCCUACUGUACAGCAACAAAGCAAUCCUGAUCCUGCUCUGAAAAAGAGCAUAUGGGAAUACAUACAGGAUAAGAUACCACACCACAUGAACAGACCAAACAACAAUGGCUCUGCACAUGAUACAACAAAAGCUUAGAUCACAUUUGUUUUCAACUAGCUCUAAACAGGUCUGUUCUCUCAGAUCUUUGUGCCUCACAUUGGGCAGCAAUUAAGGCUGUCAUGUUUUAAGAA